rnacentral:rRNA from 1 species
UGAAUGGAAGGGCCAUCGCUCAACGGAUAAAAGGUACUCCGGGGAUAACAGGCUGAUACCGCCCAAGAGUUCAUAUCGACGGCGGUGUUUGGCACCUCGAUGUCGGCUCAUCACAUCCUGGGGCUGAAGUAGGUCCCAAGGGUAUGGCUGUUCGCCAUUUAAAGUGGUACGCGAGCUGGGUUUAGAACGUCGUGAGACAGUUCGGUCCCUAUCUGCCGUGGGCGCUGGAGAACUGAGGGGGGCUGCUCCUAGUACGAGAGGACCGGAGUGGACGCAUCACUGGUGUUCGGGUUGUCAUGCCAAUGGCACUGCCCGGUAGCUAAAUGCGGAAGAGAUAAGUGCUGAAAGCAUCUAAGCACGAAACUUGCCCCGAGAUGAGUUCUCCCUGAGACUUAGAGUCUCCUGAAGGA